GCCUUGAUGGUGAAAUGGUAUACACGCGAGAUUCAAAAUUUCGUGCUGCAGAGCGUGGAGGUUCAAGUCCUCUUCAAGGCAUG
rnacentral:tRNA from 1 species